CUGGCAGGUUCACCAGUUUCUCUCCUCCAGCUGUGCACUGUGAAUGGGCUGUGGAUCACCGCUUCUUGGGUGGGAGCUAGGCAAUCUCUAGGCUAUAGCCACCUUGGCACCAGAGAGGUUGAAAUCUAGUUUACAGGGAUGCAGGGAAUGUGACCUGGGGUCUGGGGGUUGCUUUUGAAUCUGUGCCAAGUGCCUUCCUGGAUCAUCUCCUUAUAGUGCCUCCAUGCCACCUUCAAGGUUGGUGCUGGUCCCAGUUUCUACACUGCAGCAGAGGAGAAGACCAAGGCUCCCAGGAAUGAAGGAAUUGUCCCACUCCGGGAUACAUGCCAGGUCCUGACAUCACUGUUUAUGCUCAGCAACAAGCAGCCCAUAAGCUCAUGCAUACAAGAGGUGGCCAAGUGUAUGCAGCAACAGGAGGAGGAAGCAAGAGCACAGGGACCACUGUCUACAUGAGGCAGGGGGUCGCUACCUGCCUCAGACACCUGGCAGAGGUUCUCAGUUGGGACCAGUGGACACCAUGACAACUUAGAGUGACUCCAGGACUGGUUGAAGGGACAUCAUCUGGGACAUUGACUCAGAAGGGGGUCUUCCCUAUGAAUCUGGCUUGCCCUUUCUUCUCCACAGGGGAGCGUUCUGAGGUCCUGAGGGGUGGGGUAACUUAAUGUCAGGAUCUCGGUCCAAUCCCUUAGAUUACUGUGCGUUCAGACCCAUUGUCCAUUUUAACACUCAAAAUCCUUUAACUGCAUGUAGUAUAACUAAAUACAGACUCAUGUCUGUGUUUUCAUGAUCAAAA
rnacentral:lncRNA from 1 species